ensembl:lncRNA
AUUAUAUAUAUAUAUAUAUAUAUAUAUAUAUAUAUAUAUAUAUAUAUAUAUAUAUAUAAUUAAUUUCAUGAUGCAAAACUUCAUUUCCAUUGCUCCAGUCUUCAGUGUCACACGAUCCUUCAGAAAUCAUUCUAAUAUGCUGAUCUGCUGCUCAAGAAAGACUUAUUGUUUGCACUUUAUUUUACAGUCCUGUUCCUCAUGUACAUACUAUGUGCUUAUUAUAGUAAUUACAAUAACUAUUUAAUAACUAGGUAACCCAAUGUAGUUACCUUGAAUUACCAGAACAUUCUUAGAUAAAUACAUGGUAAGUACACUAUAAGUAGAUGUAAGUACACGUACUGUAAAAUAAAGUGCAAAAGAUUUAUUAUUAUCAUCAUUGUUGAAAACAGGUGGGCUGCUUCCUAUUUCUGUGGAAACGAUUAUAAUUUUUUUUUUCAAGAUUAUUUGAUGAAUAGAAAGGUCAAAAGUACUUACCACAAAGUUUUGCAUGAUAGUGUACAAUUUCUAUUGCCUAAUGUUUGAUGCUAUGAUUGUUGUUGUUGUUGCUGUUGUUAACAUUUAACCCCUCACACACCCUUGUUCUUACUUUGAACUCUCUUUAAUAAUCAGAUGCGGCCGGCGGGAGACAGCAGGAGACCUUCCCCUUUAAACGUGUGUAUUGAACAAAGGACCCUCUCUCAUAAGAGACAUCUGUCUGCUCCUCACAAGAAGGCGGAGAGACAUGCGGGUUUGAGACCGCAUGAGGGUGAGCAACCCAGACAGAGGACUUGGAGAAACAUCAAGCACUGAGUUUUGUUAUUAAAUAAUAUAUCUGCUGUGAAAGAGACACUAGAAGCAUCAUAAAUCUGCUGGACCAUUCUGCUUUCUCAGAUUUGGUCGUCUUCAGGAGCACGCUCAAGCCAUAUUUGUGAGUCUCGAUCUGCUCAUUCUAGAUUCAGAGUCUGUUCUGUUCUCCUGGAGCACGAGCUCCGGUCCGUCUCUGGAGAGUCCCGUCGAUGCAUGCUCUGAGUUCUGAGCUGAACUUCAAUCAGUCUUAAAAACAUCUCACUCUCUCUAACAUUGUGUUCACAUAAAAUGAACUGACAGAUCACAUUCAUAGUUCUUGAUGCAUUUGAAGUUUAGUACAGCCUUAAUGAAAGGGGUUUAUUCUUAAGAGACAGGGAAAGAGAAAAAGGGGAGAGCUGCAUUGGAGAAAAAAAAGCUGAAUUGGUGAUGUAAUUUAGACAGAAUUAGACAAAUGAUCCAGUGAACGAAAGGCUUUUGACAAACUCGUGGACUUACACUGCCCUCUACAGUCCAGAGUCUACUUCCACCUCGUUUCACAACAAUAUUUAUUAAUAUUAUAUAUACAUUAUUAUUAUUUAUACAUGAUUAUUAAAUAGUUAUUUUGAUAGAAUUAAUAAUUGUAUUAUUUUAACUAUUUAUUUAAAUUUGACAUUUAUUUUACAAUUUUAUUAAAUGUAAUUUUAUAUUAUAAUUAUUUGGACUGAUAUUUUGUUCAUCUAGCAUACAUUUAUAAAUGGUUAGAGAGUUGGACUUGUAACCUGAAGGGCGCAGGUUCGAGUCUCCGUGCUUUAAACAUGUAAUCCCUACUAUGUAGAAUAUUUAUUUUCUCUAUUUCUAUUAAAUAGUUAAUGUGGCAUGUUCAGUAAUAAGGCUAUCAAAAAUGUCCAUCACUAUUAUUU